GUCAGGCACAAGGCAGGCAUGUUCAGUACCUGAACCACGAAGAAUCAGCGUACCUCCUGAAAGGCAAGCAUGGUUGGUGUUGGGAUGGAGAAGAUUGCUUGUCUGCUUCUCUGUCUUUCUCUCCUCUCCGACAGAGGGGACUGUGCUUUAUCCGAACAGACACUUCAGCCUAUUAUGCAAGAUAUGUUCAAGAGGUUUAACCAACCGCAAUUGAUACAACAAAUAAGAAAGAUAAACCAGAAAAAGACUGACAAAAUGGCUGAAGGCCAACAGUACAGUUUUGCUCUUCAUCUCUCAACAAAUGACUGUAAUCGAGGAAAGCUGGGAAACAACAUCCCUGCAGACUUCAAAGACCUCAGGGACACUAUAGCAAGAGAAGAGGUGUACAACAACAAUGGUGUUGUUGCAGCACUUCCUGUCCAUCACUAUCAAAAUGGUAGAAAGUUGUAUACAGACCAUUCAGAAUACAGAGUCCUCACAAAACUAGAACAAACAAUUGCGCCUGGAUGCCUGAUUGUCUUUACUUAUUUCAGCCCUUGUUUCUCCAAGUGCCUGAACAAUAGCAAAGACGCUAAUAUCAUUGACCUGCUCACAGACUUAAGAGACAGAAACCAAAACAGAGACAUUGUAUUAGUUUUCAGUUCAUUGUUUCAUUAUGACAUACACAAAAAUGAAAAAAAAGUAAUUUAUGAGAAUCUGAAAAAAAUCCCGGUCCAGGUUUACUGCUAUUAUGAAAUAGAUAACAGCGUUAAAGGUGCCCUAUUUGAUAAAAAUAAAGAUAUGAAUCAGCACUGUCUUUCAGAAAAAAAAUGAACCUGAUGGAAAUGCAGUUUUUUAAAGCAAUAUACAGUAUUUGUGGUGUGCUAUGAUACUUGGUGUGCUAUGAUACUUGGUGUGAUAAUGCAAUAGUUUUCUCUUUUAAUGUCCAUCAUGAAUGAUUUCAAAUGCUAAAUGGCUUUUAAAAUAGCACAGAAUAAAAUAAAAGAAUGCAAGCAAUUCAUAA